CACAGCUCUUCCCUCAACUCGUGUCCCCACCUCCACCCAGAAGUCCUUGGAACACAAUCUAAAUACUACGAGGCCAGAAAUCUAAGUCUCUUCUUGUUCUGGCAUUCAUUGAUUAUUUUAUUCUCUUGGUAACGGGUUUAUCUAAUGAAACACACCUGGUUUACUUCUAAUGAUGCUCAGCUAGGAAUUUUCAGUCGGUCAUCUCCAGAAUCAAAAGGAAUUUUUGCCGUAGGACCAGAGUUCUUUCUUGCUUUAGCUUUGCGACUUGUUCUCAAGCCUCAUGAGAUAGGCUUCUUCAGGGAAAAAUGAGUUUGAAAGGCCUUUGGUGGAAGUGUAAGCAGGCAGACGUGAGGACGCUUAUUUAUGUCAUUG
rnacentral:lncRNA from 1 species